rnacentral:rRNA from 1 species
UACGUAGGGGGCAAGCGUUGUCCGGAAUUAUUGGGCGUAAAGAGCGCGUAGGCGGUCCGAUAAGUCGGCUGUGAAAGUCAGGGGCUCAACCCUUGGAUGCCAGCCGAUACUGUCGGACUAGAGUCCGGAAGAGGCAAGUGGAAUUCCCGGUGUAGCGGUGAAAUGCGCAGAUAUCGGGAGGAACACCAAUUGCGAAGGCAGCUUGCUGGGACGGUACUGACGCUGAGGCGCGAAAGCGUGGGGAGCAAACAGGG